UGCCAGCCGCCGCGGUAAGACGAAGGGAGCGAGCGUUGUUCGGAAUCACUGGGCAUAAAGGGCACGUAGGCGGCCGAGUAAGUUGGAUGUGAAAUCCCCUGGCUCAACCAGGGAACUGCAUCCAAUACUGCUCGGCUUGAGUCCGGUAGGGGAGUGUGGAACUUCUAGUGUAGCGGUGAAAUGCGUAGAUAUUAGAAGGAACGCCGGUGGCGAAAGCGACACUCUGGACCGGUACUGACGCUGAGGUGCGAAAGCUAGGGGAGCAAACAGGAUUAGAUA
rnacentral:rRNA from 1 species